rnacentral:rRNA from 1 species
UUAUAAGAGACAGCAGCAGCCGCGGUAACACGGAGGGUGCAAGCGUUAAUCGGAAUUACUGGGCGUAAAGCGCACGCAGGCGGUCUGACAAGUCAGAUGUGAAAUCCCCGGGCUUAACCUGGGAACUGCAUUUGAAACUGUCAGGCUGGAGUCUUGUAGAGGGGGGUAGAAUUCCAGGUGUAGCGGUGAAAUGCGUAGAGAUCUGGAGGAAUACCGGUGGCGAAGGCGGCCCCCUGGACAAAGACUGACGCUCAGGUGCGAAAGCGUGGGGAGCAAACAGGAUUAGAUACCCCUGUAGUCCCUGUCUCUUAUAC